UACAGAGGGGGCAAGCGUUGUUCGGAAUUACUGGGCGUAAAGGGCGCGUAGGCGGCCUGCUAAGUCGAACGUGAAAUCCCUGGGCUCAACCCAGGAACUGCGUCCGGUACUGGUUGGCUUGAAUCCGGGAGAGGGAUGUGGAAUUCCAGGUGUAGCGGUGAAAUUCGUAGAUAUUAGGAAGAACACCAGUGGCGAAGGCGGCUCACUGGCCCGGAACUGACGCUGAAAUACGAAAGCGUGGGGAGCAAACAGG
rnacentral:rRNA from 1 species